UACCUGGUUGAUCCUGCCAGUAGUCAUAUGCUUGUCUCAAAGACUAAGCCAUGCAUGUCUAAGUAUAAGUAUUAUACAGCGAAACUGCGAAUGGGUCAUUAAAACAGCUAUAGUUUAUUUGAUAAUCAAACUUACAUGGAUAACCGUAGUAAUUCUAGAGCUAAUACAUGCUGUACUCCUAACUUCAUGGAAAGGAGGUAUUUAUUAGAUAACAACCAAUAUUCCCUAGGUCUAUCGUGGUGAAUCAUAAUAACUGAUCGAAUUGCAAAGCUAAGGCUGCGAUACGUCAUUCAAGUUUCUGCCCCAUCAGCUGUAGAUGGUAGUGUAUUGGACUACCAUGGCUUUCACGGGUAACGGAGGAUUAGGGUUCGAUUCCGGAGAGGGAGCCUGAGAAACGGCUACCACAUCCAAGGAAGGCAGCAGGCGCGUAAAUUACCCAAUCCUGACUCAGGGAGGUAGUGACAAGAAAUAACAGGCAGCGACUUUGUCGCUGAAUUGAAAUGAGCCGAAUUUACACCACUUAGUGAGGAUCGAUUGGAGGGCAAGUCUGGUGCCAGCAGCCGCGGUAAUUCCAGCUCCAAUAGC
rnacentral:rRNA from 1 species